UACAGAGGGGGCAAGCGUUAUUCGGAAUUAUUGGGCGUAAAGGGCGCGUAGGCGGCUUGGCAAGUGGAUGGUGAAAUCCCUCGGCUUAACCGAGGAACUGCCGUCCAAACUGCUUUGCUUGAGACCGGGAGAGGUGAGUGGAAUUCCCAGUGUAGCGGUGAAAUGCGUAGAUAUCAGGAGGAACACCUGUGGUGUAGACAGCUUACUGGACCACUUCUGACGCUGAGACACGAAAGCGUGGGUAGCAAACAGG
rnacentral:rRNA from 1 species